AGGGAUUGCCCCAGUAACGGCGAGUGAAGCGGCAACAGCUCAGAUUUGAAAUCUGGCCCUUUCAGGGUCCGAGUUGUAAUCUGUAGAGGAUGCUUUUGGCGACGCGCCUUCCGAGUCCCCUGGAACGGGGCGCCAGAGAGGGUGAGAGCCCCGUAUGGUUGGACGCCGAACCUCUGUAAAGCUCCUUCGACGAGUCGAGUAGUUUGGGAAUGCUGCUCAAAAUGGGAGGUAAAUUUCUUCUAAAGCUAAAUACCGGCCAGAGACCGAUAGCGCACAAGUAGAGUGAUCGAAAGAUGAAAAGCACUUUGAAAAGAGGGUCAAAUAGCACGUGAAAUUGCUGAAAGGGAAGCGCUUGUGACCAGACUUGCGCCCGGUUGAUCAUCCAGCGUUCUCGCUGGUGCACUCUGCCGGGUUCAGGCCAGCAUCGGCUCUCCCAGGGGGAUAAAGGUCGCGGGAACGUAGCUCUCUCCGGGGAGUGUUAUAGCCCGUGGCGGAAUGCCCUUAGGGGGGGCCGAGGCUCGCGUUCGCAAGGAUGCUGGCGUAAUGGUCACCAGCGACCCGUCUUGAAACACGGACCAAGGAGUCAAGCAUUAGGGCGAGUCUUUGGGUGCAAAACCCGCAGGCGCAAUGAAAGUGAACGGAGGUGAGAGCUUCGGCGCAUCAUCGACCGAUCCUGAUGUUCUCGGAUGGAUUUGAGUAAGAGCCUUACCGCUUGGACCCGAAAGAUGGUGAACUAUGCCUGAAUAGGGUGAAGCCAGAGGAAACUCUGGUGGAGGCUCGCAGCGGUUCUGACGUGCAAAUCGAUCGUCAAAUUUGGGCAUGGGGGCGAAAGACUAA
rnacentral:rRNA from 1 species